GUUUGCAUGUUCUCCCCGUGGUUCGAGCGUUUCCUCCGGGUACUCCGGUUUCCUCCCACAAGGACAUGCACUGUAGGCUGAUUGGCAUUUCCAAAUUGUCCGUAAUGUGUGAAUGUGUGUGUGAUUGUGCCCUGCGAUGGAUUGGCGCCCCGUCCAGGGUGUCCCCCGCCUUGUGUCCUGAGUCCCCUGGGAUAGGCUCCAGGCUCCCCAUGACCCUGCAUGAUAAGCGGUAUGGAAAAUAGAUGGAUGGAUGGAAUUAUUCUUGCUAUCCAACAAAUUCUGUUUAUACUUUUUCUGACUUCUUGCUUGAAUGACAACGUUGCUCUUUAGAUUUUUUUUUCUAACAUUAUUUGUUAGGUUAGCAUGUAUAUUUUUAUUAGAAACAUUAUGAGACAACAGAGAGCUGAAUGUGAUAUUUACAGUACACAUAUUCAUAAUUCUCUGUAAAGUGAAUAUAUUAAAAAUACACUUCACCUACGCUCACAUAAUAUUAUUAUAUUAUAAUUACGUUAUCAUUUCUGCUCUUUUAUCAUACCUUAGUCUACUGGUGCUGUUGUGUGAUAGUGUCCUUUUUUUGAAGCUUUGUGGUUGCAUUCAUCAGAGCGGUUUAUAUUUCUGCAUUAGAAGGAUUAGUGUGUUGCAUGUGAACUAGAUUCUGAGUUUCCUGUGUGUGUGUGUGUGUGUGUGUGUGUGUGGGUGUAUGAUUUUGAGUGCAUGUAUAUUAAACUGUACGGUAUAUCUGCAGCUGUACUCAGCGUGAAUCUCCUAAUCCAGCUGUUACGCUCAGUAGGUGUAUUCUGCCCUUGAAGACUUUUGAACACAGUCUUCGUGCUGGUCAUGGUCCAGGUGAAUAAGGAUCUUAUCCCGGGAACACGGUGUGAGAAUAAUCUAUACAGUUGCUGAUGCAACUGUCAGUGGCGUAUUACAGCAUCAGUGUGUGGGCGUGGAUCUGCAUCCAGCCGCAGAGCUAAUGAAAUAUUCAUUUGCACACGUCACACUGCUCUAACAAGCCAACAUUAUCAACAGAAGAUACUCACAUGAAAACACACCAAUUAACUUUCCGCAAGAUUUAUUCGUGCGUGCACCAGGAGGUUGCGCAUGUGAGCCUCGACUGGCAGGAGAGAACCAGAACUAUAAUCUAGCAGUUGUCUAUAUGGUGUUAUGUCAACAUAUUCAUUUUGUUUUACUGUAAAUAAUAAAAAAAAAUUAAUUCUGAUAGUGUUCCCAUUUUUUACUAAAUGUUCCUGUAAUCUGAUUACUUUGUUUUUAGACGUAACCGUAACAGAUUACAGUUACCAGUUUUUUGUAUCCUG
ensembl:lncRNA